rnacentral:rRNA from 1 species
AUUGAACGCUGGCGGCAUGCCUUACACAUGCAAGUCGAACGGUAACAGGCCGCAAGGUGCUGACGAGUGGCGAACGGGUGAGUAAUGCAUCGGAACGUGCCCCGUUGUGGGGGAUAACUGCUCGAAAGAGCAGCUAAUACCGCAUACGACCUGAGGGUGCAAGCGGGGGAUCGCAAGACCUCGCGCAAUUGGAGCGGCCGAUGUCAGAUUAGGUAGUUGGUGGGGUAAAGGCCGACCAAGCCGACGAUCUGUAGUUGGUCUGAGAGGACGACCAGCCACACUGGGACUGAGACACGGCCCAGACUCCUACGGGAGUCAGCAGUGGGGAAUUUUGGACAAUGGGCGCAAGCCUGAUCCAGCAAUGCCGCGUGCAGGAAGAAGGCCUUCGGGUUGUAAACUGCUUUUGUCAGGGAAGAAAUCCUCUGGGUUAAUACCCCGGGGGGAUGACGGUACCUGAAGAAUAAGCACCGGCUAACUACGUGCCAGCAGCCGCAGUAACAC